CUUGUAUUGCCUUAAUUCAAAAGGCAAGCCCUAAAUCAAAAGUCUUCUUAUAGUUCCUUCUACUGCUACAUUUCCUAAACCAAAACGGGAGUGAAGAACUGCAUCUCAACGGCUCAAGAUCCAAAACCAUAAGGUUUAAGAUCGUAAUGAUGAUGUUGUUAAUUAGUGAAUUGAUUCUGAGUAUGAAGAAGAAGAAAAGAGUUUUUGAUAAUUUGUCGUUUGGUUUGUGCGGCCUCGGAAAUUUAUCACUAAAGGGUAUUCUACAUCAAGCUGCCAUGGUAGCUCUAAGUUUUGAAUUCAGAUCUGUUUGUAUUGUGGUUUCAGGGAGUGGAGAACAUGACAUUGCAUUUAUAAUGGAAACAGCUUGAUUUUUAUUCCCGGAUAAUGUAAAAGACUUAGGAUGGGUGAUAGAUACCACAUGAUCAACUCAAUUUAAAUCACAGAUAAACAUGAGGACUUGAAAAAUGGAUGAAAGACACAUCAUGAUGGCAGUAGCUGCCCUUAAAGCAUUUGCAGCUGCUAUUACGGUACCAGUGGACAAUGUUAAUGAUAAAAAUAGGUAAUCCAAUUCUUUUUCUGAAGAAUCUGAACAAUGGAAUGAAAGACAUAGAUGUCAUGCAAAAGUAGGAAAUGAGCACAAGUGUUUAGUGAAACACCCACAGAUCAUGCUUGAUUUUUGAAGUUAGUAGCUUAAAUGUAGCUUAAACAUUUUCUGUACCAAAUCAUAGUUGUGUACAUUAUAAGAAAGAAAUCCAGUUCUUGUAAUCUCACAGAAUUUAAUCAUGCUGCUUACUGAAGUCAUUCAUGAUUCUGAUUGUAAACACUACAAGAACAGAUUUGGAAUCUAC